AAGCAGCAUUUUUGGGAUAACAAAAGGUAAUAUUGGGACAUCCAUUAUCCAUGAAAUUCCACACCAUGCACCAACUGACCCUCAGGGAUUUCUCAGUAAUCAAAGGGAAAAAAAGGUCUGCCUUAUCUAUGCUUUUGGUUUGUUCUAGAACAACAUUAUUCAAACUCAUUGAUGGUGUUAAGAAUGAGGGAACCAGCUGAUAUCCUAAAGUUUCAAAUAAUGAGACACAAAACAUUUAUAUGGCGUGA
rnacentral:lncRNA from 1 species